rnacentral:rRNA from 1 species
AGUGAACGCUGGCGAUAGGCCUAACACAUGCAAGUCGAACGGCAGCACAGUAAGAGCUUGCUCUUACGGGUGGCGAGUGGCGGACGGGUGAGGAAUACAUCGGAAUCUACUUUUUCGUGGGGGAUAACGUAGGGAGACUUACGCUAAUACCGCAUACGACCUACGGGUGAAAGCAGGGGAUCUUCGGACCUUGCGCGAUUGAAUGAGCCGAUGUCGGAUUAGCUAGUUGGCGGGGUAAAGGCCCACCAAGGCGACGAUCCGUAGCUGGUCUGAGAGGAUGAUCAGCCACACUGGAACUGAGACACGGUCCAGACUCCUACGGGAGGCAGCAGUGGGGAAUAUUGGACAAUGGGCGCAAGCCUGAUCCAGCCAUACCGCGUGGGUGAAGAAGGCCUUCGGGUUGUAAAGCCCUUUUGUUGGGAAAGAAAAGCAGCAGGUUAAUACCCCGCUGUUCUGACGGUACCCAAAGAAUAAGCACCGGCUAACUUCGUG